GUAUCUAUGGUGUGGGCAUUGCAAUAGAAGUAAUUUGAAACGAUCUCAUGCUUCAUAAAAGGACUCAGUAUUCUUUUAAUAAAAAUUAAAAAAUUUAGCCCUUAAUUC
rfam:Ricinus communis cultivar Hale ctg_1100012292405, whole genome shotgun sequence.